GAUGAACGCUGGCGGCGUGCCUAAUACAUGCAAGUCGAGCGAACGGACGAGAAGCUUGCUUCUCUGAUGUUAGCGGCGGACGGGUGAGUAACACGUGGAUAACCUACUUAUAAGACUGGGGUAACUUCGGGAAACCGGAGCUAAUACCGGAUCAUAUUUUGAACCGCAUGGUUCAAAAGUGAAAGACGGUCUUGCUGUCACUUAUAGAUGGAGCCGCGCGGCAUUAGCUAGUUGGUAAGGUAACGGCUAACCAAGGCACCGAUGCAUAGCCGACCUGAGAGGGUGAUCGGCAACACUGGAACUGAGACACGGUCCAGACUCCUACGGGGGGCAGCAGUAGGAAAUCUUCCGCAAUGGGCGAAAGCCUGACGGAGCAACGCCGCGUGAGUGAUGAAGGUCUUCGGAUCGUAAAACUCUGUUAUUAGGAAAGAACAUAUGUGUAAGUAACUGUGCACAUCUUGACGGUACCUAAUCAGAAAGCCACGGCUAACUACUU
rnacentral:rRNA from 1 species